rnacentral:rRNA from 1 species
GACAGAGGGUGCAAACGUUGUUCGGAAUUACUGGGCGUAAAGGGUGCGUAGGCGGCGCGGUAAGUCGGGUGUGAAAUCUCGGAGCUUAACUCCGAAACUGCAUUCGAUACUGCCGUGCUUGAGGACUGGAGAGGAGACUGGAAUUUACGGUGUAGCGGUGAAAUGCGUAGAUAUCGUAAGGAAGACCAGUGGCGAAGGCGGGUCUCUGGACAGUUCCUGACGCUGAGGCACGAAGGUCAGGGGAGCAAACGGG